rnacentral:rRNA from 1 species
GCGCACCAGUCGAGAAACUUUACAAUGUGCGAAAGCACGAUAAGGGAACUCUGAGUGCCUCCUAAGGAGGCUGUUCAGGUGUCUAAAAGCACCUGAAGGAAGGGCUGGGUAAGACCGGUGCCAGCCGCCGCGGUAACACCGGCAGCCCAAGUGGUAGCCACGUUUAUUGGGUCUAAAGCGUCCGUAGCCGGCUGGGUAAGUUCCUUGGGAAAUUUGGCUGCUUAACAGUCAAGCUUUCAGGGAAUACUGCCCGGCUUGGGACCGGGAGAGGUCAGAGGUACUCCAGGGGUAGGGGUGAAAUCCAUUAAUCCUUGGGGGACCACCGGUAGCGAAGGCGUCUGACCAGACCGGGUCCGACGGUGAGGGACGAAGGCUAGGGGCGCGAACCGGAUUAGAUACCCGGGUAGU